rnacentral:rRNA from 1 species
CUUCAUAAGGUGAAACCGCGAACGGCUCAUUAUAACAGCUAUAAUUUACUAGACCUUGAGCAACUACUUGGAUACCUGUGGUAAUUCUAGAGCUAAUACAUGCACCGAAGUUGUUCCUCACGGAGCAAUGCAUUUAUUUGAGCAAAACCAGGCGGCUUCGGCCGUUUCUGUUGAUUCAGAAUAACUAAGCUGAUCGCAUGGGCUUGUCCCGGCGACGUGUCUUUCAAGUGUCUGCCUUAUCAACUUUCGAUGGUAGUGUACGUGACUACCAUGGUGUUGACGGGUAACGGAGGAUAAGGGUUCGACUCCGGAGAAGGGGCCUGAGAAAUGGCCACUACGUCUAAGGAUGGCAGCAGGCGCGCAAAUUACCCACUCUCAGUUCGAGGAGGUAGUGACGAAAAAUAACAAGGCCGUUCUCUUUGAGGCCGGCCAUUGGAAUGGGUACAACUUAAACCCUUUAACGAGUAUCAAUGAGAGGGCAAGUCUGGUGCCAGCAGCCGCGGUAAUUCCAGCUCUCAAAAUGCAUAGAACCAUUGCUGCGGUUAAAAAGCUCGUAGUUGGAUCUGUGCCGGCGACGUGGUCCGCCCUAACCGGCGGUACUGCGCUCGUCGGCUUUGGGCCGGUCUUCGGUCGGUCGCCUUCACUGGCGGCCGCUCGUGGCUGGCUGGUUUACUUUGAGCAAAUCAGAGUGCUCAGCACAGGCGUCUCGCCGGAAUGUUCGUGCAUGGAAUAAUAGAAAAGGAUUUCGGUUCUCUUUUAUUGGUUUUGUGAACUGAGAUAAUGGUUAACAGAGACGGACGGGGGCAUUCGUAUUGCUGCGUGAGAGGUGAAAUUCUUGGACCGCAGCAGGACGGA